rnacentral:rRNA from 1 species
GGUCAAGCUACAAAGGGCGCAUGGUGAAUGCCUUGGCAUCAGGAGCCGAUGAAGGACGUGAUAAGCUGCGAUAAGCUUCGGGUAGGCGCACAUAGCCAGAGAUCCGGAGAUUUCCGAAUGAGGAAACUCACAUGGGAAACCCCAUGUAUCAUAAAGUGAAUACAUAGCUUUAUGAAGGUAAACCCAGGGAACUGAAACAUCUAAGUACCUGGAGGAAGAGAAAGAAAAAUCGAUUUUCUUAGUAGCGGCGAGCGAAAAGGAAAGAGCCCAAACCAGAGAUUUAUCUCUGGGGUUGCGGACAGAACAUAACGAGAAAUCAUAGUUAACCGAACACAACUGGAAAGUUGGACCGCAGGGGGUAAUAGUCCCGUAAGUGAAAAUUAUGAUAAUCAGUUCUGCACCAGAGUACCACGAGACACGUGAAACCUUGUGGGAAGCAGGGAGGACCACCUCCCAAGGCUAAAUACUACCUGAUGACCGAUAGUGAAGCAGUACCGUGAGGGAAAGGUGAAAAGAACCCCGGGAGGGGAGUGAAAUAGAACCUGAAACCAUGUGCCUACAACCGAUCAAAGCACCUUAUGUGUGUGAUGAUGUGCUUUUUGUAGAACGAGCCAACGAGUUACGGUAUGUAGCGAGGUUAAGUACUUAAGGUACGGAGCCGAAGGGAAACCGAGUCUUAAUAGGGCGACUAGUUGCAUGCUGUAGACCCGAAACCGGGUGACCUAUCCAUGGCCAGGUUGAAGCGAGGGUAAAACCUCGUGGAGGACCGAACCACGUUGCUGUUGAAAAAGCAUGGGAUGAGCUGUGGAUAGCGGAGAAAUUCCAAUCGAACUCGGAUAUAGCUGGUUCUCCUCGAAAUAGCUUUAGGGCUAGCGUCGGAAAAUGUGAGUAGUGGAGGUAGAGCACUGAAUAGGCUAGGGGGCAUAGCGCUUACCGAACCUUAUCAAACUCCGAAUGCCAUAUACUAUCAGUCCGGCAGUCAGACUAUGAAAGAUAAGUUCCAUGGUCAAAAGGGAAACAGCCCAGAUCGUCAGCUAAGGUCCCAAAGUGUAAGUUAAGUGGAAAAGGAUGUGGGAUUUCUAAGACAACUAGGAUGUUGGCUUAGAAGCAGCCACUCAUUAAAAGAGUGCGUAAUAGCUCACUAGUCAAGAGAUCCUGCGCCGAAAAUGUCCGGGGCUCAAACUUACCACCGAAGCUACGGGUUCACAAUUUAUUGUGAGCGGUAGAGGAGCGUCGUAAUCGGGCUGAAGUCGUACCGAAAGGAGCGGUGGACUGAUUACGAGUGAGAAUGUUGGCAUUAGUAGCGAGAUGUAGGUGAGAAUCCUACAGGCCGAAUAUCUAAGGUUUCCUGAGUAAAGUUUGUCUUCUCAGGGUUAGUCGGGACCUAAGGCGAGGCCGAAAGGCGUAGUCGAUGGACAAUUGGUUGAUAUUCCAAUACCACUAUAAUCGUUAUUAUCGAUGGUGUGACGGAGAAGGAUAGGAUGUGCUAACUAUUGGAUGUUAGUCUAAGCGUUUAGGGAGUUAGGAUAGGCAAAUCCGUUCUAACAAUUCUGAGGCGUGAUGGGGAAGGUUC